CGCUAGGAUCCCUUCGGGGUGACUUUGAUGCUGACGAGCGGCGGACGGGUGAGUAACGCGUAGGAAUCUACCCAGUAGCGGGGGAUAGCCCGGGGAAACCCGGAUUAAUACCGCAUACGCCCUACGGGGGAAAGGGGGGGCUCUCUUCGGAGACCUCUCACUAUUGGAGGAGCCUGCGUUGGAUUAGCUUGUUGGUGAGGUAAAGGCUCACCAAGGCGACGAUCCAUAGCUGGUCUGAGAGGACGAUCAGCCACACUGGAACUGAGACACGGUCCAGACUCCUACGGGAGGCAGCAGUCGGGAAUAUUGUGCAAUGGGCGAAAGCCUGACACAGCCAUGCCGCGUGUGUGAAGAAGGCCUUAGGGUUGUAAAGCACUUUCAGUAAGGAAGAAAAAGCCGAGCCAAUAACUCGGUAAUAUGACAUUACUUACAGAAGAAGCACCGGCUAACUCCGUGCCAGCAGCCGCGGUAAUACGGAGGGUGCAAACGUUAAUCGGAAUUACUGGGCGUAAAGCGCGCGUA
rnacentral:rRNA from 1 species